AGAUUGAACGCUGGCGGCAUGCCUUACACAUGCAAGUCGAACGGCAGCACGGGAGCAAUCCUGGUGGCGAGUGGCGAACGGGUGAGUAAUACAUCGGAACGUGCCCAAUCGUGGGGGAUAACGCAGCGAAAGCUGUGCUAAUACCGCAUAAGAUCUACGGAUGAAAGCAGGGGAUCGCAAGACCUUGCGCGAAUGGAGCGGCCGAUGGCAGAUUAGGUAGUUGGUGAGGUAAAGGCUCACCAAGCCUUCGAUCUGUAGCUGGUCUGAGAGGACGACCAGCCACACUGGGACUGAGACACGGCCCAGACUCCUACGGGAGGCAGCAGUGGGGAAUUUUGGACAAUGGGCGAAAGCCUGAUCCAGCCAUGCCGCGUGCAGGAUGAAGGCCUUCGGUGUAAACCUCUUUAGCAGGAAGAAGCGAAAGUGACGGUACCUGACAGAAAAAGCAACCGGCUAAACUAGUCGCCAGCAGCCGUA
rnacentral:rRNA from 1 species